rnacentral:rRNA from 1 species
GUCUAUGGCCAUGCUACCCUGAACAAGCCGGAUCUCAUCUGAUCUCAGAAGCUAAGCAGGGUCGGACCUGGUUAGGACUUGCCUAGGAAGACCAGAUGCUGUAGGCU